GUGCUCAAUUCGACAGUACAUAUACUAAAAUUGGAACGAUACAGAGAUUAGCCUGGCCCCUGAGCAAGGAUGACAGGUAAAUUUGUGAAGUAUUCUAUAUUUUA